UUCAUAAACAGAAAGCCGCACAGGGAGGAUACAAGAUACUGCUGUCUGCAGCAGUGGUCACUGCUGCUCCUUAGAACUCUUUUGUCUUGCACCAUGGGUUGUACCUCUGUCAUAGGGAGUAAUUAUAUUGGAUGGCCAUGGGCCCACACUGGUACUGGGCGAAUCGAUUGGCACCAGACUAAAAGAAACAUUUUAAAAAGCAUAAACAAAUGACAGCUGAUAUGUGCAACUGCCGUCCCAAGGCCAUGGUCUCGGUAGCACUUUGGCAAAUGCAUGCCUUGCAACAUGGAGUGAAUGUCGCAAAGAUGUGCCAUAAUAUCUGUUCUUGUGCUUGGCUUCCAGUCUCCUUGAUCUCCAGCAACAGACAAGGUCCAAGGAGGAUGGGAGGUUGGCCGUGCUCCACAAAAUCUUAGAUGUCGCAGGUCUCGGGUAUCUCAUCAAAGCCUCAAUAUCUUGCGCAUCAGGGGCUGCAUCAGUCCAGUUCUUCUUGGCUGAGAAAUCAUGACUGUAGCACCCAGGUUUGGUACCUUAAAAGAUACCUGCACAGAGCUCCAGUGAAGCCCAU